GAUAUGUUCAGAGAAGGACAACAUCAAGAGAAAAUAAGUAAUAGCAAGGCAGUCUUGAUGAUGGCACUUAUCAAGAACAAGACACACAUUCUCUUUUGUCUUGGUCUUUUGUUGACGUGUACCACUUUUCUGUGUGGCCCUGCGGCAGCGGGGAGGGAUGUAGGUACCAACGCUGCAUUUGGAAUCCAAUGUUUUACUUACUUGGUGUGCAUGGACUCAUAUCAGUAUGCCGUUGAUUACUGCAACAAGGAGUGCAAAAUACUUGGUUAUGACGGCCAGAAAGGCUACUGCAAGAAGGAGAAUCCUGGCGUGUUUUGUUGUGCCUAAAGUUAAAAGACAUGUUAUAUUGUCAUUUCGUAGAAAAUCAUUGCAUGUAUUUGCUAGUCAGAAUACUAAUUUAUCUAGAUUAUAUGAGAAUUUCAAUAACGUA